rnacentral:rRNA from 1 species
UACGUAGGGUGCAAGCGUUGUCCGGAAUUAUUGGGCGUAAAGAGCUCGUAGGCGGUCUGUCGCGUCUGCUGUGAAAACUCAGGGCUUAACCCUGAGCUUGCAGUGGGUACGGGCAGACUGGAGUGUGGUAGGGGAGACUGGAAUUCCUGGUGUAGCGGUGGAAUGCGCAGAUAUCAGGAGGAACACCGAUGGCGAAGGCAGGUCUCGUGGGCCACUACUGACGCUGAGAAGCGAAAGCAUGGGAGCGAACAGG